rnacentral:rRNA from 1 species
ACGGGUGAGUAACGCGUGGGAAUCUACCCAGCUCUACGGAAUAACUCAGGGAAACUUGUGCUAAUACCGUAUACGUCCGAUAGGAGAAAGAUUUAUCGGAGUUGGAUGAGCCCGCGUUGGAUUAGCUAGUUGGUGGGGUAAUGGCCUACCAAGGCGACGAUCCAUAGCUGGUCUGAGAGGAUGAUCAGCCACACUGGGACUGAGACACGGCCCAGACUCCUACGGGAGGCAGCAGUGGGGAAUAUUGGACAAUGGGCGCAAGCCUGAUCCAGCCAUGCCGCGUGAGUGAUGAAGGCCCUAGGGUUGUGAAGCUCUUUCAACGGUGAAGAUAAUGACGGUAACCGUAGAAGAAGCCCCGGCUAACUUCGUGCCAGCAGCCGCGGUAAUACGAAGGGGGCUAGCGUUGUUCGGAAUUACUGGGCGUAAAGCGCACGUAGGCGGAUUGUUAAGUGAGGGGUGAAAUCCCAGGGCUCAACCCUGGAACUGCCUUUCAUACUGGCAAUCUCGAGUCCGAGAGAGGUGAGUGGAAUUCCGAGUGUAGAGGUGAAAUUCGUAGA